AGUAGCAAGGACGAUGAAGUUCAUUACAUAUGUCCAUUCCUUUCCCAUUUUCAGAUUGUUUUCAAAAGACAGGGAAAGGUUGUUUGGCAAAGAUUGGAGUUGAAAGGUUUAGGUUUUGGACUGGAAUUUGGGCUUUUCAUUUUUGGAUCCGUUGUUCCCCUUUCUCGAACCCUAAUUGCCUCCAUGUAAGAUUUCUUCUUCAUCCUAUUUAAGGGAGCCACAAGAUACA
rnacentral:misc_RNA from 1 species